GACGUAGGGGGCAAGCGUUGUUCGGAAUUACUGGGCGUAAAGCGUGCGCAGGCGGUGAUGUAAGACAGAUGUGAAAUCCCCGGGCUCAACCUGGGAACUGCAUUUGUGACUGCAUCGCUGGAGUGCGGCAGAGGGGGAUGGAAUUCCGCGUGUAGCAGUGAAAUGCGUAGAUAUGCGGAGGAACACCGAUGGCGAAGGCAAUCCCCUGGGCCUGCACUGACGCUCAUGCACGAAAGCGUGGGGAGCAAACAGG
rnacentral:rRNA from 1 species